CCUACGGGCGGCAGCAGUAGGGAAUCUUCCACAAUGGGCGAAAGCCUGAUGGAGCAACGCCGCGUGGGUGAAGAAGGUCUUCGGAUCGUAAAACCCUGUUGUUAGAGAAGAAAGUGCGUGAGAGUAACUGUUCACGUUUCGACGGUAUCUAACCAGAAAGCCACGGCUAACGACGUGCCAGCAGCCGCGGUAAUACGUAGGUGGCAAGCGUUAUCCGGAUUUAUUGGGCGUAAAGGGAACGCAGGCGGUCUUUUAAGUCUGAUGUGAAAGCCUUCGGCUUAACCGGAGUAGUGCAUUGGAAACUGGGAGACUGGAGUGCAGAAGAGGAGAGUGGAACUCCAUGUGUAGCGGUGAAAUGCGUAGAUAUAUGGAAGAACACCAGUGGCGAAAGCGGCUCUCUGGUCUGUAACUGACGCUGAGGUUCGAAAGCGUGGGUAGCAAACAGGAUUAGAUACCCGUGUAGUC
rnacentral:rRNA from 1 species